rnacentral:rRNA from 1 species
CCUACGGGUGGCAGCAGUGGGGAAUAUUGCACAAUGGGGGAAACCCUGAUGCAGCGACGCCGCGUGAGUGAAGAAGUAAUUCGUUACGUAAAGCUCUAUCAGCAGGGAAGAAAUACUGACCUUACGGUCAGCAGACGGUACCUGAGUAAGAAGCACCGGCUAACUACGUGCCAGCAGCGGCGGUAAUACGUGGGGGGCAAGCGUUAUCCGGAUUUACUGGGUGUAAAGGGAGCGUAGACGGUGCGCCAGGGCUGGAGUGAAAUGCCGCGGCUUAACUGCGGAACUGCUUUGGAAACUGGCGAACGAGAGGGCGGAGGGGGUAAGCGGAAUUCCAGGUGUAGCGGUGAAAUGGGUAGAUAUGAGGAGGAACACCGGUGGCGAAGGCGGCUGACUGAACCGAAACGGACGUUGGGGCUCGAAAGCGUGGGGAGCAAACAGGAUUAGAUACCCUAGUAGU